CUGACGACCGGCGCACGGGUGCGCAACGCGUAUACAACCUGCCCCCCGCUGGGGAAUAGCCCAGAGAAAUUUGGAUUAAUACCUCAUAGUAUCAUUUGAAGGCAUCUGAGAAUGAUUAAAGAUUUAUCGGUAUAAGAUGGGCAUGCGUAAGAUUAGUUAGUUGGUGAGGUAACGGCUCACCAAGACUUCGAUCUUUAGGGGUUCUGAGAGGAUGAUCCCCCACACUGGUACUGAGAUACGGACCAGACUCC
rnacentral:rRNA from 1 species